GAGUUUGAUCAUGGCUCAGGAUGAACGCUAGCGGGAGGCCUAACACAUGCAAGCCGAGCGGUAUUGUUUCUUCGGAAAUGAGAGAGCGGCGUACGGGUGCGGAACACGUGUGCAACCUGCCUUUAUCUGGGGGGAUAGCCUUUCGAAAGGAAGAUUAAUACUCCAUAACAUAUUUAACGGCAUCGUUUGAUAUUGAAAGCUCCGGCGGAUAGAGAUGGGCACGCGCAAGAUUAGCUAGUUGGUGAGGUAACGGCUCACCAAGGCGAUGAUCUUUAGGGGGCCUGAGAGGGUGAUCCCCCACACUGGUACUGAGACACGGACCAGACUCCUACGGGAGGCAGCAGUGAGGAAUAUUGGUCAAUGGGUGCAAGCCUGAACCAGCCAUCCCGCGUGAAGGACGACUGCCCUAUGGGUUGUAAACUUCUUUGUAUAGGGAUAAACCUACCUCGUGAGGUAGCUGAGGGUACUAUACGAAUAAGCACCGGCUAACUCCGUGCCAGCCGCCGCA
rnacentral:rRNA from 1 species